GACGAACGCUGGCGGCGUGCUUAACACAUGCAAGUCGAACGGAAAGGCCCUUCUUUUGUGGGGUGCUCGAGUGGCGAACGGGUGAUUAACACGUGAGUAACCUUCCCUUGACUUUGGGAUAACUUCAGGAAACUGGGGCUAAUACCGGAUAGGUGCUCCUGCUGCUUUUUUGGGGUUGUCAAGUUUCUGCGGUUGGGGAUGGACUCGCGGCUUAUCAUCUUGUUGUUGGGGUAGUGGCUUACCAAGGCCUUGACGGGUAGCCGGCCUGAGAGGGUGACCGGCCAGAUUGGGACGGAGAUACGGCCCAGACUCAUACGGGAGGCAGGAGGGGGGAAGAUUGCACGAUGGGCGGAAGCCUGACGCAGCAACGACGCGUGCGGGAUGACGGCCGUCGGGUUGUAAACCGCUUUCGCCUGUGACGAAGCGUGAGUGACGGUAAUGGGUAAAGAAGCACCGGCUAACUACGUG
rnacentral:rRNA from 1 species